rnacentral:rRNA from 1 species
AUUGAACGCUGGCGGCAGGCCUAACACAUGCAAGUCGAGCGAGCGGCGGACGGGUGAGUAAUGUCUGGGAAACUGCCUGAUGGAGGGGGAUAACUACUGGAAACGGUAGCCAAUACCGUAUACCAUCAGAUGUGCCCAGAUGGGAUUAGCUAGUAGGUGGGGUAAUGGCUGACCUAGGCGACGAUCCCUACCUGGUCUGAGAGGAGGACCAGCCACACUGGAACUGAGACACGGUCCAGACUCCUACGGGAGGCAGCAGUGGGGAAUAUUGCACAAUGGGCGAAAGCCUGAUGCAGCCAUGCCGCGUGUGUGAAGAAGGCCUUCGGGUUGUAAAGCACUUUCAGCGGGGAGGCGUUACUCGCAGAAGAAGCACCGGCUAACUCCGUGCCAGCAGCCGCGGUAAUUC